CCCUCUGAAAGGGGCUGAUGAGCUAGUUAACAUCCAGAGAACUAGACCAGCUGUGUGAUCCUGGGCAAGCCACUUAGGCUCCGUUUGCCGCAGUUUUUUCAACUGUAAAAUGCAGAUAAUUCUAGGGCACCUGCCUCAUAGGGUUGCUGGGAGAAUCAAAGGAGAUAACCCUGGUAAAGUACGCAGUUAGGUUAGGGUCAGGGAGACUAGCACAUAGUAGGCCUGCCCCGUGUCUGGCCUGUUGGGAGACCCCCAUCCCACUGAGUUCCAGUUGGGCUGUCACAGACUGGAUAGAUGCAGAAGACAUAGUUACAAUGUGGGCUAGAAGGUAGCUCUUAAUCUACAGGAAUAAAGACCCUACAGCUUUAGAUCUGAAAGAGUUACAAAGACUCCCGGAAAUGCCCGGGAAGGCUGUAGAUAGCACGGGAUUGGGAGUCGGGGGCUCUGCCUUCAAACCCAGCACGGGAUUGGGAGUCAGGGGCUCUGCAUUCUGCAUCUUGCUUCGGCCGUUUAGGACUGCCAUGGCUUUGAGCAAUAUGAAAUGAAAGCAUUGGACGUGAUCCAGAUCUGUGGCCCUGGGCUGUGUAAUCACUAAGAUGGGCAGAACCCUCCUGGAAGGCUGAGCCUGGAAGGGUGACCGGCCACCCCUUCGCCUCGGCAGCGCAGAACCACAGGCGCUGCCCCGGACCUGGCUCCUGCCACCAGGCAGCCUCCCUCUGGGCAGUGGGAGGCAAUACCCUGUGAUGGGACCCCUUCAGCCCCUUUUCAGGAGAGAGCCGAAGGCAAAAGUCCUCUGCAUUCUGAUGAAUCAGCAUCUCCUGGGACAGCGGUGAGCCGGCGGAAGGGGAUCUGAGCCACCACCACCACUGAUCCCUAGAGGAAACCCUCCCUCUCCAAAUACUCCAGAAAGAGGAGAAAAGCCUUGUCUGCCUUCCAAUGAAUGUCCCCAUCCGUGUUCUAUGUGAAUCUACAGCAAUCAUCCCCUUCAAGCACACUGGGUGGGCACACCAGCUUUGGAAAGUAUCCCUGGGUAAAAUAGAAUAUAAUUUUUUUUACAUAAACAAAUACUGCUGAUGUAAUGUCAUUAUAAUGAAAAAAUUUUGUGAAAAAUUUAAUGCUGAGAUAGUAUAUAAAUUGAAUUUUGCGACAAAAAAAGAAUUUUUGAGCAGCUCACACCCCCAGUGUUUUAAUGGAACCCUUCAAGUCUUCCCAUGUCUGCUCUCUUACUUGUUGCUUUGUUCACACCCAGGAAGCCAGCUUGCCCUAGAAUCUUGAAUACAUGAUGGGCUGGGAAGAUCCGUUCUUCUUCCCAUUGGUCCACAAAUGGAUUAAUCUCCUUAUUGAUAAUCUACAAUGAAAAGAAAAACAAAAGAAAAGUUAGGAAGAUGGGAGUUUCCCCAAGAGCCCCAGGGUCCUUUCUAAAAUCUGCACUGAUCCUCAGCUCUACCUUCUGCUGCCAUCCAUGUUGCUGAGUGUUUCCUCAAGUCUCAAGACUCCUUUCAUAGGGCAGUUUUUGGACUCAUUCCUU